rnacentral:rRNA from 1 species
UGGCGAGCGUUAUCCGGAAUGAUUGGGCGUAAAGGGUGCGCAGGCGGUCUGUUAAGUCUGAAGGCAAAGGGAUGAGCUCAACUCAUUCAUGAUUCAGAAACUGGCAGACUUGAGGACAGGAGAGGGCGGUGGAACUCCAUGUGUAGCGGUAAAAUGCGCAGAGAUAUGGAAGAACACCAGUGGCGAAGGCGGCCGCCUGGCCUGUGACUGACGCUGAGGCACGAAAGCGUGGGGAGC